GAUGAACGCUGGCGGCGUGCCUAACACAUGCAAGUCGAACGGAGUAUAUAUUAUGAAGUUUUCGGAUGGAUUAAUAUAAACUUAGUGGCGGACGGGUGAGUAACGCGUGGGUAACCUGCCUCAUACAGGGGGAUAACAGCUGGAAACGGCUGCUAAAACCGCAUAAUAUUGCGACAUCGCAUGGUGAUGCAAUUAAAUAUUUAUAGGUAUGAGAUGGGCCCGCGUCUGAUUAGCUAGUUGGUGAGGUAAUGGCUCACCAAGGCGACGAUCAGUAGCCGGCUUGAGAGAGUGACCGGCCACAUUGGGACUGAGACACGGCCCAAACUCCUACGGGAGGCAGCAGUGGGGAAUAUUGCACAAUGGGGGAAACCCUGAUGCAGCGACGCCGCGUGAGUGAAGAAGUAUUUCGGUAUGUAAAGCUCUAUCAGCAGGGAAGAAAAUGACGGUACCUGACUAAGAAGCCCCGGCUAACUACGUGCCAGCCGCCGCAGUAA
rnacentral:rRNA from 1 species